rnacentral:rRNA from 1 species
UACGAGAGGCCCAAACGUUAUUCGGAAUUACUGGGCUUAAAGAGUUCGUAGGCGGCAUUGCAAGUAGGGUGUGAAAGCCCUCGGCUCAACCGAGGAAUUGCGCUCUAAACUGCAGUGCUCGAGGAACCUAGAGGUGAGCAGAACAGAUGGUGGAGCGGUGAAAUGCGUAGAGAUCAGGAAGAACAUCGGUGGCGAAGGCGCUCUGCUGGACCAUAACUGACACUCAGGGACGAAAGCUAGGGGAGCGAAUGGG